rnacentral:rRNA from 1 species
UACGUAGGGUCCGAGCGUUGUCCGGAAUUACUGGGCGUAAAGAGCUCGUAGGUGGUUUGUCGCGUUGUUCGUGAAAACUCACAGCUCAACUGUGGGCGUGCGGGCGAUACGGGCAGACUGGAGUACUGCAGGGGAGACUGGAAUUCCUGGUGUAGCGGUGGAAUGCGCAGAUAUCAGGAGGAACACCCGUGGCGAAGGCGGUUCUCUGGGACGGUACUGACGCUGAGACGCGAAAGCGUGGGGAGCGAACAGG